UCUGUAGCUCAGUUGGAUAGAGCAACGGCCUUCUAAGCCGUGGGUCGCGGGUUCGAAUCUUGCCAGAC
rnacentral:tRNA from 3 species